AUGCAAGUCGAGGGGUAUGCUUCUUCGGAGUAGAGACCGGCGCACGGGUGCGUAACGCGUAUGCAAUCUACCUUUUACAGAGGGAUAGCCCAGAGAAAUUUGGAUUAAUACCUCAUAGCAUAGCAGCUUCGCAUGAAGCCACUAUUAAAGUCACAACGGUAAAAGAUGAGCAUGCGUCCCAUUAGCUAGUUGGUAAGGUAACGGCUUACCAAGGCUACGAUGGGUAGGGGUCCUGAGAGGGAGAUCCCCCACACUGGUACUGAGACACGGACCAGACUCCUACGGGAGGCAGCAGUGAGGAAUAUUGGACAAUGGGCGCAAGCCUGAUCCAGCCAUGCCGCGUGCAGGAUGACGGUCCUAUGGAUUGUAAACUGCUUUUAUACGAGAAGAAACACUACUUCGUGAAGUAGCUUGACGGUAUCGUAAGAAUAAGGAUCGGCUAACUCCGUGCCAGCAGCCGCGGUAAU
rnacentral:rRNA from 1 species